rnacentral:rRNA from 1 species
AACGAACGCUGGCGGCAUGCCUAACACAUGCAAGUCGAACGAGACCUUCGGGUCUAGUGGCGCACGGGUGCGUAACGCGUGGGAACCUGCCCUUAGGUUCGGAAUAACUCCCCGACAGGGGUGCUAAUACCGGAUAAUGUCUUCGGACCAAAGAUUUAUCGCCUUGGGAUGGGCCCGCGUUGGAUUAGCUAGUUGGUAGGGUAAAAGCCUAUCAAGGCGACGAUCCAUAGCUGGUCUGAGAGGAUGAUCAGCCACACUGGGACUGAGACACGGCCCAGACUCCUACGGGAGGCAGCAGUGGGGAAUAUUGGAAAAUGGGCGAAAGCCUGAUCCAGCAAUGCCGCGUGAGUGAUGAAGGCCUUAGGGUUGUAAAGCUCUUUUAACCGGGAUGAUAAUGACAGUACCGGGAGAAUAAGCUCCGGCUAACUCCGUG